CGUCGCCCCGCCUCCUUCACGGCAGACGCUGCGGUCUUGCGCCCCCGUGUGCCUGAACUAAGGACCCGCCAAAGUUUAAUUCUUCUCUCCCACGUGACUCGAGCGGGACAGACAGUCUCGAGGCAGGGGUUGAGCGGGAUGCUGCGGAAUGGCGAAUCCACAUGGGAUGGGCCCCUUGAGAAUUGACCGUUCUGCAGACGUGAAGACAGGCCUUCCAAAGUUGCAGAUUACAUCUCAUUGGCUCUGAUUGAUCAGGCGCCAUUUUGGAAAUAGUCACUGUGGCCAGAAGAAGGGGCCGUUCUUAUUAGCCAGGCCUGAAUCUCACAUCCAUCGCAGAGUGUAUACACCGUUUGAAAGACUUGUCUGAAAGUGCACACCAGGAUGCUUUUACCAGACGAGAGGGAAGUAGAUGGGACGCGUCCGACCAAGAAAUAUCCGCUGUGGCCUAAAAGGCAAGUUUCUUUUCACCCCAGUUUCUUAGUAAAUUCAUCUCCGUCCUCCACUUUCCUCUGUAACUGUUUGGUGUCUCUGUCCAGUAACCUCUUCCUUUUGCAUUGCUCAUUUAAAAAUUUUAUAAGGUAUAUCGUGAAAAACAUCUAAUGGAAUUCGCCUUGCUGGGUUUUGGUCUCCUUUGAGACCCGUGAUCCCUUUUUUUCCCUUCCUUUUUCUCCCUUUUGGAAUGGGACUGUCUAUCCUGUGCCUUUCCCACCACUGUAUUUUGGAAGCAAAUAAUGUGUCUGGUUU